AAUGGCUUUCUGUCUUAAAAUUGAUGAUGAAGACACGUGCUUACGACUGAGGUAUGAAGAAAAAAUAGUUAACAACACAAAAUUCUUUGUAGAAUUGAAGUUUCGAAUGCAACCAGGAAAAGUAUGAUCAACUUGGUUCGAAGAUGCACGGACUUGAUCGAAUGGCCGAUCCAAAUGCAACUUUAAAGGCGCGAAAUUUGAAAAUGCCCCUGUAGAAUGGCUUCCCUCUGCUGUUUUGAAAUUCGGGCGCAUUCAAGUUCUCCAUACAUGUAAGCUAUAUAUCUAUAUAGCAUUGAAAGCAAAAACGACGAUAAAUCAGUAUCAAGGAUUAAAAUAUAGUACACAUUACGUCCGUCUCACAAAGCGCGUUUCUAGCAACGGCCGAAUGCUAAGCGCUCAGUAUUUUGACUAAACUGCAACAUUCACAAUUUAAGGGCAGCAACGGUGAUUUAAUAAUGCCAGUAUCAAGUGCGGUAAUGCCAAUCAUAUGAAUCACACGCUUUUCGCAACGUUCGAACUGAAAUUUCUCAACAUUUGAAAAUAACUGCAACACUGACUGUUUCAGGACAGACAAGGUUAUCAAAUAAGAUUUUGUAAAUAAAAAGAUGUUUCAAGAUGAAUAUUUGGAUGAUGCUAUAAUAUCUGAUAAUAGUUAUUCAGAAAGAAAAACAAGUGAUCCUGAAGAAUCCGAAAUCAUGAAAGAAGUUUUAAGCUUCAUGAAUAAGGAUAAUGAAGAUAGUGAUGAAACUGAAGAAAUUGCAACACAGUUUAAUUUGCUCCAAUUACCAGAUAUCCGUGCUUGGGGUAAAAAAAAGAAGAUCUACUAUGCUUCUGAUUAUGUCGAUACUGAUUUAGCAAUUUUGUCUCUAAAAGAUGAGCAAAAUGCCGUGCUAGAGGAAGAGGAAGCAAAAACUAUUCAAAAGCGUCUGGCUAAAGAAUUGGACGAUGUUGAUUUCAGAUUGAAUUUAAAAAUAGUAGACAAUAACAAAGAAACACAAUCGACUACAAAUCACAUAAUUAAGGUUGAUACGACUAAAUUUACUGGCAGGCAAAAACUGGACUUACUUGAAAAAGAAAGUCCUGAAUUUAUGGCACUAAUCCAAGAUAUUAAAGGUUUCUUCUUUUUAAACAUUUACAAAAUAUUCUUCAAUUUCCUGCUGAGAGACACACGUAAAACACAUCAAUUGAUUGAAGUAAAGACAACCUGGGGACCUCAAUUAAAUCGGACGAAGAAAGAAAAUUACUUGAAUAAUAGAGAAUUAAUUUGUGUACAAGCAAAGUAUCAAGUAUUAUUAAACUAUUGUCUUAAUAUAUUGUUUUACUUAACACUCAAAGCGAAGCGAUCAUUUGUCAACCAGCAUCCAGUAAUAAAGAGAUUAGCACAAUACCGGCAACUGCUAAAUCAACUUGAUUCAUUCCAAGCUCACAUGUUAGACAGUCUGAAGAAAACAUUAGAUUGCUCUGAUAUUCGAAAAAAAAUGCUAAGGCCACAGAAAUUUGUCAAGUCAAAGGCAGAAUCUAAAACUGCUUUGUUAAAACAAAAUAAAAAUGAAAAACGCAAAAGGGAAAAAAAUCCUAUUGAAGAAAUUAAAGGAAAAUUAGUAGAUAACAUGAGUGACAAUGAAGUCAUUAUGCAAGAGGGCAGACGAAUUAUAACAUAUCAAAUAUCAAAGAACAAAGGACUCACUCCACAUCGCAAUAAAGAACAGCGAAAUCCACGAGUCAAGCAUAGAAAUAAAUAUCGUAAAGCAAAAAUUCGUAGAAAAGGGGCCAUACGGGACUCGGUGGCGGCCUCCAGUUUGGUAUUAACGGGAAAUGUUCUCAUAUUUAAGUCAAGUUUGGUAGAUUCCUCUUUUCUGACAGGUUUGGCUCUGUGAGAAUGUAUGAAAGAGUAGGAAAAUAAGAAAAAAUGAGUAAAUAAUGAGAUAUAAGAACGUGAGAGAAGCCAGGAAAGAAAUUCAUCGUUAUGCUGGAGAAGUGUCAGGCAUUAAAGUCGGAUUGAAGAAGAGUAUUUCGUUGAAGUAAUUACUAAUAUUUCAUUGAGAAACGAAGAG